rnacentral:lncRNA from 1 species
AUGUUUUUUUUGAAUGUUGCUAAUAAUAUAAUGAACUAUUUUUAUUAUAUAACUAAAGUAUGUAAAAUUCAUAUGGGAAAUAAUUUUGUAUUUGAUACUGUACCUGUUUGUAAAUUUACUAUAUGCACAUGUGCAGGAACUUUUGAUGAUUAUGCAAAAGAUGGUAACAUAUGUGUAGUAUGUAUGUCUGAAGAAAAGCGUGCAAUAGGUGACUAUACUUACAAUUUAAACGAGUGUUCAAGUGGUGAUGGUGAUGGUGGUAAUGGUAGUAAUGGUGGUAAUGGUAGUAAUGGUGGUAAUGGUAGUAAUGGUGGUAAUGGUAGUAAUGGUGGUAAUGGUAGUAAUGGUGGUAAUGGUAGUAAUGGUGGUAAUGGUAGUAAUGGUGGUAAUGGUGGUAAUGGUAGUAGUAGUAAUAGUAGUAGUAGUAGUAGUAAUGAUGGGGGUAGUGAUAAUGAUGGUGGUGGUGGUAGUAGUAGUAGUAGUAGUAGUAGUAGUAGUAGCUACAGUAACAGUAGCGAAUCCGGUAAGAAAAGUAAAAAAAAUGACAUCGAUAAUAUAAAUAAUAAAAACAAAAAAAGUAUAAAUAAAAAAAUAUAUAAUACAAAUAAAAAAAAAAAAAAAAAAACAUUAAUAAAUAUGGAUGUAGAAGAAUAUAGUAACAGGACGGAAACAGAAAUGAAUGAAAAAUAUUUAGAAUCGAGUACAAAAGAGAUUUUAGGUGAAAAUACAGACAGAAGCGAGAACGUAGAGAUAAACAGUGGUAUGAUCGAAAGCAUAACUAACGAAAGCAGAAUAAGUGAAGAUAGAAUCAGUGAGAAUAGUAUUAGUAAAAAUGAAACUACAAGUUUUAUAAAAAAAAAAACAAACAAACAAACAAACAAACAGAACGGAAUGGACGAACAGGACGAAAAUAUAAAAACUAAAAGAAGUAGCAAAAGUAAUAGAAGUAGCAAAAGUAAUAGAGAUGGUAAAAGUAAUAGAGAUGGUAAAAGUAAUAGAAGUAGCAAAAGUAAUAGAAGUAGUAAAAGUAAUAGAAGUAGUAUAAACAGUAUAAUUAGUAUACAUAGCGCAAAUAGCAUAAAUAGUAUAAAUAGUAUAAACAGCGUAAAUAACAUAAGUAACAUUAAAAAAACUAAUAAAAUUAAUAAAACAAAUAAAAUAAAUAAAAUUAAUAAAAUUAAUAAAAUAAAUCGAACAAAUAGUAUAAAUAGUAUAAACAGUAUAAAUAGUAUAAACAGUAUAACUAGUAUAAAUAGUAUAACUAGUAUAAAUAGCGCAACUAAGAAAAGUAAAAAAAAUAAAAUAAAUAACAUAAAUAACGUACAUAGAAAAAAUAGAACAAACAGUAUAAACAGUAUAAAUAGUAUAAAUAGCAAAAGUAGUAAAAGUAGUAAAAGUAGCAAAAGUAGUAAAAGUAGCAAAAGUAGUAAAAGUAGCAAAAGUAGCAAAAGUAGCAAAAGUAGCAAAAGUAGCAAAAAUAGCAAAAGUAGCAAAAAUAGCAAAAGUAGCAAAAGUAGCAAAAAUAGUAUAAAUAGCAAAAAUAGUAUAAAUAGCAAAAGUAGCAAAAAUAGCAAAAGUAGUAAAAGUAGCAAAAAUAGCAAAAGUAGCAAAAAUAGUAUAAAUAGCAAAAAUAAUAAUUCAGAUUUAGAGUGGGAAAAUUUCAUGCCACAUAACACUCUGAUUUCUCCUUGUUUUAUGAAUAAUAAAUAUGAUGAAGAAGAAGAAAAAAAAAAAAAUAUAAAAGUAGUACCAAAAAAAGGUAAAGAAGAAAAUGGUAAUAUUAAUAAUAAAGAUAUGAAACAUAUACAAAAAAAAAAAAAAAAAAUUGUUGAAAUGAAUAAAAAUAAAUCCUCUUCUUUAUUAAGUAAAAUGGACAAAGAAUGUAAUGAAAAUAUGAAUGAUCAUAAUAAAAAUGAAGCAAGUGAUUAUCACCUUAUAUAUCCUAUAUAUAAUGACAAAAAUGAUUAUAAUAAAGAUAGUGGUUAUGACAGUAAUAAUAAUAAAAAAACUUUAACUAAUAUUGUUCAAAAUAUAGAUCAUAACACAGAAAAUGAUAUAAAUAUAUAUACUAGUUAUAAUAAAAACUCAAAUAAUAAUAGAAUAAAUCAUAUUUUUAAAAAUAAUAUCUCACAAAACAGUAACAUACGUAUUAAAGUAGAAAAAAAUAUUUCAGAAAAUGUACAAAGAGAUAAAAUAAAUGAAUUAAAAAAUAGUAGCUAUAAUAAACCACCAUUUGAUGAGUAUACUAAAAAAAGUGCACUAAACAACAAAAAAGUCCUAAAUAACAACAAAGUCCUAAACAAUACUAAUUUUUUAAUGCAUAAAGAGAUUGUAAAAAAUAGAGAAACAAAAAUUAUACAAAAAAAUAUUGAUAGAAUGAGACAUAUGAUGAUAAAAAAAAAAAAGUUACAAACAAUUGAUAAAAAUAGUGACAAAAAAAGUGACAAAAAAAGUGACAAAAAAAGUGACAAAAAAAGUGAUAAAAAAAGUGACAAAAAAGGUGACAAAAAAGGUGACAAAAAAAGUGAUAAAAAAAGUGACAAAAAAAGUGACAAAAAAAGUGAUAAAAAAAGUGAUAUGAUUAUUCGUAAUGCUUUUAAUGAACUGUGUAUAGAAACUUAUAUUAAUAAAAUAUUUUUUUUUGAUAAUACAAAAAAUAAUUGUACAAUUACAUGUAUGAGUAAUAGUAACUAUAAUUCUAUGAUUAAUUUAUGUACAUAUUUAGAAAAUUAUACAGAUAGUAAUAAUGCCCAACUAUAUAACAAAGGUAUAUAUUUUCUUUGGAAAGAUACAUUGGAAGGUAAAAUAAUUCACUAUUUUAUUUUUAAUUACCACAUCUUUAUUAUUAAUUAUAAAUAUAAUAAUAUGUUUUUGAAUAUAUUCAAUACAGAAAGUCAAUUAAUUGUUUAUGAUUAUAUAUUACCUAUUAAUAGAAUAACCAAUUUUUUUGUUAUAAAAUUUAUACAACUUGAAAAUAAUGAAUAUGUUUUUUUUGUAUCCAUAAUAAUUAUAUUUAUUAUAUAUACCAACUAUUCAAUUACUCGGACAUUGUUAUUUUAUAUACAUUUAAUGUUAGUAAUUUAAAUGCGGAUGUUGAUUCAAUUCAAAUUAAUAUUAUUGAAAACUUAGAAAACAAUAAAAAUAUUUUUGAAAAAAAAAAAAAAAAAAAU